rnacentral:rRNA from 1 species
GGACAACCUGCCCUCGGGUGGGGGAUAACCCCGGGAAACUGGGGCUAAUCCCCCAUAGGGGAUGGGUACUGGAAUGUCCCAUCUCCGAAAGCGCUUAGCGCCCGAGGAUGGGUCUGCGGCGGAUUAGGUUGUUGGUGGGGUAACGGCCCACCAAGCCGAAGAUCCGUACGGGCCAUGAGAGUGGGAGCCCGGAGAUGGACCCUGAGACACGGGUCCAGGCCCUACGGGGCGCAGCAGGCGCGAAACCUCCGCAAUGUGGGAAACCGCGACGGGGUCAGCCGGAGUGCUCGCGCAUCGCGCGGGCUGUCGGGGUGCCUAAAAAGCACCCCAUAGCAAGGGCCGGGCAAGGCCGGUGGCAGCCGCCGCGGUAAUACCGGCGGCCCGAGUGGCGGCCACUUUUAUUGGGCCUAAAGCGUCCGUAGCCGGGCUGGUAAGUCCUCCGGGAAAUCUGGUCGCUUAACGAUCAGACUGCCGGAGGAUACUGCCAGCCUAGGGACCGGGAGAGGCCGGGGGUAUUCCCGGGGUAGGGGUGAAAUCCUGUAAUCCCGGGAGGACCACCUGUGGCGAAGGCGCCCGGCUGGAACGGGUCCGACGGUGAGGGACGAAGGCCAGGGGAGCGAACCGGAUUAGAUACCCGGGUAGUCCUGGCUGUAAACGAUGCGGACUAGGUGUCACCGAAGCUACGAGCUUCGGUGGUGCCGGAGGGAAGCCGUUA